GGCUAACGCUGGCGGCGUGUCUUAGCCAUGCAAGUCGAGCGGACUUAUGGGGUAACUUAUAAGUCAGCGGCGGACGGCGGAGUAACACGUAGCUAACCUACCCUCUGGACGGGGAUAACCUACCGAAAGGUGGGCUAAUACCCGAUGUAGUCAUCCUGUAUAGGGGUGAUGAAAGGUGGGCUUCUGUUUACAAGCUCGUGCUGGAGGAGGGGGCUGCGGCCUAUCAGGUAGUUGGUAGGGUAAUAGCCUACCAAGCCGAUGACGGGUAGCCGGCCUGAGAGGGUGACCGGCCCGAGGGGCACUGAGAUACGGGUCCCACUCCUACGGGAGGCAGCAGGCUAGAAAUUUGGGCAAUGGGGGAAACCCUGACCCAGUGACGCCGCGUGCAGGAAGGAGCCCUUCGGGGUGUAAACUGCUGUCGUGUAGGGAGAAGGGUACUAAGGUGAACAAUCUUAGUACUUGACGGUACUACAGGAGGAAGCCCAGGCUAACCUCGUG
rnacentral:rRNA from 1 species